GCUGGAGUCGGACCUUAAAAGCAUCAAACUUCCACAGGUGUGUAGGCUACUUAGUUUUGUCAUCAAAAUACAUAAUGCAUCUUAAUUUGCUAUAUCAUUGUACUGUUUUAAAUAGUUCACCAGAAGAUGCAGACAGGUCCCAGAACUGCCUGUUUGCAUGGUGGACCAUCCUGGCCUCUACCAUGUCUGCCAUCUAUUCAUUGCAGAAUGUCACAGGGCAGACUAUGGCGCUAUGUCCUCAGAAGUCAACUGUUAGGCCUCUGAAAUGCAGAGGUCCAUGGUAUAAUCUUUUGUAUAAUCACAAAGUCUAUUUCAUCAUUUUGCGAAAAAGACUCUGUGACGAUACUGAAAAUUAUGAUUACAAGAUUAUUUGCUGUUGUUGAAAGUAAAUAAAGAUACCAGACUGCAAUGCAAUGUUGUUAAAUGCUCUAUUAUUCACAUAACAUAAUAAACAGAUCAAAAAACAAGGCUCGAAUGAAAGUCAAAAUCAUGGCAUGUAAGUACCUUUUAAACAUAUUGUUUUGCAUGUGCUCAAGCUCUAGAAUGUGUUCCUGUGAGAGGAAAACAGAUCAUGGUGAAAGUAAUAGGGUGUUGGCUAAACAUAAUCGGAUAGGACGUAUAGUGCAGCAAGAGAUUAGUCAUCAAUGGCAUAAAGUAGAAAAAAUAUGUGGUUUCAUUGACAUUGUCCUCACCAGUUUUCUUGAACACUGGCGUGACUAUAUACAACUUCACAACUAUAAUCUCAUUCACUGUGUCGUGGCAAAGUACAAAGUAAGUCCCGCUAUUCUUUGGUUUACAGCUUAAAGAAUAGGCUCUUGUUAUAUGCUAGUGUUUUUUCAAACCUGAUACAAAUUUAUCUUGGUGUGACUUAGUCAUAACUCUGGGCUUAUAGCCAAGAGAGGUUUGGGUGCAACCGCAGCAUGUGACAUCCCUUGGGUUUACUAUUUACAGAAAGUCACAUGUAUGGAAACUUGCAGAAAGGAGUACAAUAUAUUGUUUCUUGUUGUGAAUGCAGUUAGACAGUUGAGCCCUCAGGCUAUCAACCUUGUUGCACAGACAACUAAUUACCUUUUACACACCAUCUGCUGACUGCCACGUAUACAGAAAGGGGUUGUAUUUUCUCUGUAAAAGCAGAGACCCGGCUAUGUUUGUUAAGCUUUCAACUCUGAACCAUUCUUGGUGAUGUUGUUGCUUAAUUUUUGCAAAUCUUAUAAUAAAGCUGUUGUUGGAAGAAUCAAGUCUCUCUUUUCAUUUAUAAUUUAUCUGACAAAUUUGCGACAAGGAUGGGAUGGCUAACUCCGCUUGCUGAUUGCUCCCGAGGAGAUCGAGGUUACCUACAGUACGUGCAGGAGAGCGUUAGACGUGGCUCAUGGAGCCCACUCUCCAACUAAAACGGAGCAGAAAGAGACCCGCCUCAGACCGGCUGGGAGCGUCAGUGAGUGGAGACUCCAUUCCGGACAGACAAAAUAAAUUAAGGGUCUGAACUCCUCCCUACUCAACUGGGUCCGGGACUUCCUGACGUGCCAUCCCCAAGUGGUGAUGAUAGGCAACAUGACCUCCUCGACACUGAUCCUCAACACGGGGACAACACAAGGGUGCGUCCUCAGUACCCUCCUGUAUUCCCUGUAUACCCACGACUGUGUGGCCUCAUGCAGUUCCAACUACAUCAUCAAGUUUGCUGAUGACACAACAGAUCAUCAACAAUGACAAGACAGCCUACAGGGAGGAGUAAGGAACUCUGACGGCAUGGUCCCACGUAAACAACGUCUACCUCAAAGUUAGGAAAACAAAAGAUCUGAUUGUGGACUUCAGGAGGAACCAGGCUGGCCACGCACCCAUCCUCAUCAAUGAGGCCUCCUUGGAGAUGGUCACCAACUUCAAAUUCCUCUGCGUACGCAUCUCAGAGACGCUGAAAUGGUCUAACCACACAGAUAAAAUAGUGAAGAAGGCACAACAGCGACUUUUCAACCUCAGGAAGCUGAAGAAAUGUGGCCUGUUCCCGAAGGCACUCACAGUCUUCUACAGGAGAGCCAUCGAGAGUAUACUGUCAGGCUGCAUCACAGUCUGGUACAGCAACUCCACCGCUGCGGACCACAAGGCUCUUCAGAGGGUGAUACAUGCAGCCAAACACACCACUGGAUGCAUACUGCCUGCCCUAAAGGACAUCUACAACACCAUGUGUCUCAGGAAGGCCAGAAGAUUAUCAGGGACCCCAGCAACACAAGCCAUGCCCUGUUCACCCCGCUUCAAUCACUAAGAUGCCCAGUACAGGGGCAUCAUGGCAAAACUGAAAGACUGGCCAAUAGCUACCAUUAGUCAGCUACUUGCUCCCCCUCCACAUGUGACUAUUAAACACUCGGGAAUCUGAAUAUCUACCAUCUCUUAAUCUUUUGCAAUCAUUGUUUACGCUGAGCUAGCAGUGUUGACCUCUAAUAGAUUUGCAAUCUUGGAUUGCUGCCCUUGUCCAUCUAUUGCAGAGAUUGAAAAGGAACCCUUGAGAUCUCUGCUUUGUGGAGAAAGUACUUAACCCUUGUGUGGUGUUCGGGUCUGUGAGACCCAUUUUUAUGUUUACUAAAAGAAAAAUCAUACACUUAAUUAUUUUUUCAACCUGAGACAUUGCUCUUGGCUCAUUUUCUGUGAAGAACAUGUAAAAGAACACAUUUUAUUGAGUGCACACCGUGCACCCCCCUGCACAUUUAUAGUACAUAGCUUUGUAUGUGUGGCUCCUUACCACAAUCAAUCAGCAUGGCAAAAAUAAUCUCUGCUCAGAGGGCUUUAGAAUUUUUAAUUUGCAGAGAGAGAGAAGCUAGUGUGGAUGGAGCGACUUUUCCAAAUAUGAGGAUCAUGUCUCUGUCAAUUCGGUGUCUGACAGUGAGUUGGAAGAAGAGGAUAAGAUUGACCAUCAGCAAGCCCCAGGACCAGCCCGUCAGCAACUAGCUCAUCAGCAGCCUCUAGGAGAAGAAAUGUGGAUGUCAACAAGUGGUGAUAUUGAAUGGUCUUCAUGCCCAAGGAGUGAGCCACCCUGCAUGGAUGCCAAUGUGAUAAGGAUGUAACCAGGACCAACGCAGAUGGACAUAAAGUCUUCUUUUAAACUAUUCAUCCCAGACACCAUCCAGAAAAUAAUUCUGGAAUACCAUAAUUUGGAGGGAAGGUGUGUUUUUGGAGAAAGAUGGAAAAUGGACCAAACUCAUUUACAUGCAUUCUUUUGGGUUCUUAUCCUUGCUGGUGUUUUCAGAUCCAAUGGGGGAAUACACAGAAUCCAUGUGGGAUGCAGAAACUGUCAGACAACUUUUCUGUGCAACAAUGUCUCUGGGAAAAUCCCACAUUAUUUCCAGGAUUACCUGCUUUGAUAACGAAUACACCAGACCAGCUUGGAGGCAGAGAGACAAGCUAGCUGUAAUCAGGUCAGUGUGGGACAAGUGUGUGGACCGCCUUAUUUUACAACCAUGGGCCCAGAAUUACUGUUGAUGAACAGUUUAUGCCAUUUAGGGGCCGCUGCCCCUUCAGGUGGUUCCUACCGUCUAAACCCGUAAUAUAUGGAAUCAAGAUCUGGGCUGCCUGUGAUGCUGCUUCAUCAUAUGGGUUGAAAUUGCAAGUGUAUAUGGAGAAGCCAGAUGGAGAAGCCCCCGAGAAGAACCAAGGGAUGCGGAUUGUCCUGGACGUGACACAGGGACUCCAUGGGCCACAACAUCACAUGCAAUAAGUUUUUUACUUUGCACAAGCUGGGACAGGAGUUCCUCAAAAGGAAGCGGACAAUGGUAGGAACAGUACAAAAAAACAAGCCAGAGCUCCCAACUCAGCUGUUGAAUACAUGGAACAGGCCUAUCAAUUCCUAUAAGUUUGUGUUCCCAGCCGUCAUGUCCCGUGUGUCCUAAGUGCCAAAGAAAGGCAAAAAUGUGGUACUGUUGAGUACGCUGCAUAGGGAUCGGAGAAGCUGUGAAAAAACAGAAAUCAUAUUGGGUUACAAUGCCAGAAAAGGAGGGGUGAACAAUUUUGAGAAUCUGGUGACUGGCUACAGCUGCAAAAGAAGAACCCUACGCUGGCCACUUGCGAUAUUCUUCAACAUCUUUGACAUCUUGGUGUACAAAAUGUGUUUGUCAUCUGGGUGGCGUUGAACCCAGAUUGGAACAGAGGGAAGCUCUAGGGGAGGGCUCUUUCUCGAGGAGUUGGGCAAGGCAUUGGUAAGACUUCAAAUCUAGAGGAGCCAAAAUAUCCCAAGGACCCAAGCUUCUGCAGCCAUCAUGAGGGGGAUUCAGGAGGAGGAUGCUGGUUCCCCAUCAGCCUGAUCCACAGAACCAACAACUCCAAUACCGGAAAUUGCAGCCGGUAGCAACAAGAAGAAGUAUUGUGAUGAACAAGAAGACACAGUGCACAUACAUCAAGUGCAAGAAAUACAUUUGCAACACGCACACAGUAAAACUCAUGUCCCUCAUGUGGUUUGUAGACCGGCCUUCAUUUCUUUUCAAUGGGGCUCAUUUAUCAUUUCCAUAAAAUACUGUAGGUAAAAUUUGUCCUUCAAAUGUGUUCAGUUCAAAGCAAUAAAC